CUUGGUCAUUUAGAGGAAGUAAAAGUCGUAACAAGGUUUCCGUAGGUGAACCUGCGGAAGGAUCCUUCAUAAUAAAGUGUUUUAUGGCACUUUUUAAAAAAUCCAUAUCCACCUUGUGUGCAAUGUUAGAUCUCGUCAAUCUUGGCGAGGUUUUUAUACAUCAACUCAUUCUUUAACUAAUUUGUCUGAAAAAUAUUAUGAAUAACUUAAUUCAAAAUACAACUUUCAACAACGGAUCUCUUGGCUCUCGCAUCGAUGAAGAACGCAGCGAAAUGCGAUACGUAAUGUGAAUUGCAGAAUUCAGUGAAUCAUCGAAUCUUUGAACGCAUAUUGCGCUCUCUGGUAUUCCGGAGAGCAUGCUUGUUUGAGUAUCAGUAAACACCCUCAGAACUUUCUUGAUUUUCGAAUCUUGGAGGCUCUGGAUUUGAGUGAUCCCAACGUGUUCUUUCGCAGAACAUGGCGGGCCACUUGAAAUGCAGGUGCAGCUGGACUUUCUUCUGAGCUAAAAGCAUAUUUAUUUAGUCCUGUCAACACUUGUGUUGCGGAUUAUUACUUCUGCUGCAGCUUACAUAAAGGUUGAUUGUUCAAAUGCUGACUGAUGCAGGAUUUAUCAGUAGCGUAAAAGCGAUCUGUUAAACUCGAUCUCAAAUCAAGUAAGACUACCCGCUGAACUUAAGCAUAUCAAUAAGCGGAGGA
rnacentral:rRNA from 1 species